ACCCCAAUGGCCUAAUGGAUAAGGCACUGGCCUUCUAAGCCGGGGCCUGUGGGUUCGAGUCCCAUCUGAGGUA
rnacentral:tRNA from 1 species